GGAAGGCUAAGUCUUAACCACUGGACUGCCAGGGAAGUCCCAAGAGUGCGCUUUAGAUGACAGAGGGGAAGUGGAGAUGACGUCAGGAAAUCAACGACAUAUCCAAUAAUUCGACUUCCACCAUCGCUGCGAGGCUUCUUCCAGCCUAUGCUACAAGAUGACUUGGUAACAGAAGUCACCUUCAGGUCCACAACUGGUCCAGGGGUUUCUAAAGCAAAGGAGAAAUGAUGAGUCUAAGCCCCAGAAAACCAAGGUAACCAGUAAUGGGGCUACCUCCGUCGCUGUCGGGUCUGUCCCACGCCACAAAGAUGCACUCUUUGUUGACUUUAGUGACACGUGCGUUCUUGGGUUCACUGGGAACACCUGGAGGUGAAGACCAGGGAAAUGUCAGUUUCCAGCCUA